rnacentral:rRNA from 1 species
UACGUAGGGCGCAAGCGUUUAUCCGGAAUUAUUGGGCGUAAGAGCUCGUAGGCGGUUUGUCGCGUCUGCCGUGAAAGUCCGGGGCUCAACUCCGGAUCUGCGGUGGGUACGGGCAGACUAGAGUGAUGUAGGGGAGACUGGAAUUCCUGGUGUAGCGGUGAAAUGCGCAGAUAUCAGGAGAACACCGAUGGCGAAGGCAGGUCUCUGGGCAUUAACUGACGCUGAGGAGCGAAAGCAUGGGGAGCGAACAGG